CUCUUGGGGUAAUUUCAAGUAACCUCUGCCCUAUGAGUAGUUUAAAUGGCCGCAGUAUUUUGACUGUGCAAAGGUAGCAUAAUCACUUGUCUUUUAAUUGGAGGCUGGAAUGAAGGAGGCGACGAAAUUUAGACUAUUGGUUUGUAAGGUGAAAUUAACAUAAAGGUUAAAAGGCUUUUAUAAAUCAAAGGGACGAUAAGACCCUAUAAAACUUCACUAUAAAUUAGAUUACUCAGGUGAAAUUUAGAUUUAUAGUUUAACUGGGGCGGUUUAAAUAAAAACAAUUACAGUAAAAAUAUAUUAAAUAAAAACUAAGAACUCCAAUGUGAAAUAAACAAGUUACUUUAGGGAUAACAGCAUAAUUCUCCCAGAGAGUCCUAAUUGGCGGGGGAGUUUAUGACCUCGAUGUUGAAUUGGGGUGUCUGGUAUAAGUAGAAAUAUAUCAAGAUAGUCUGUUCGACUAUUAAAUUCCC
rnacentral:rRNA from 1 species